GACGAACGCUGGCGGCGUGCUUAACACAUGCAAGUCGAACGGAAAGGCCCUGCUUUUGUGGGGUGCUCGAGUGGCGAACGGGUGAGUAACACGUGAGUAACCUGCCCUUGACUUUGGGAUAACUUCAGGAAACUGGGGCUAAUACCGGAUAGGAGCUCCUGCUGCAUGGUGGGGGUUGGAACGUUUCGGCGGUUGGGGAUGGACUCGCGGCUUAUCAGCUUGUUGGUGGGGUAGUGGCUUACCAAGGCUUUGACGGGUAGCCGGCCUGAGAGGGUGACCGGCCACAUUGGGACUGAGAUACGGACCAGACUCCUACGGGAGGCAGCAGGGGGGAAUAUUGCACAAUGGGCGGAAGCCGGAUGCAGCAACGCCGCGGGAGGGAUGACGGCCUGCGGGUUGUAAACCGCUUUCGCCUGUGACGAAGCGUGAGUGACGGUAAUGGGUAAAGAAGCACCGGCUAACUACGUG
rnacentral:rRNA from 1 species